CACGUAGGGGGCAAGCGUUGUCCGGAUUUAUUGGGCGUAAAGGGCGCGCAGGCGGCCACGCACGUCCGUUGUGAAAUCGCCCGGCUCAACUGGGCGGGGUCGGCGGAUACGGCGUGGCUGGAGCAAGCUAGGGGGUAGUGGAAUUCCCGGUGUAGUGGUGGAAUGCGUAGAUAUCGGGAGGAACACCAGUGGCGAAGGCGGCUACCUGGGGCUUUGCUGACGCUGAGGCGCGAAAGCGUGGGGAGCGAUCCGG
rnacentral:rRNA from 1 species